GGCCGGCUCGCGGCACGUCCCCCACGGACAGGGCCUCGGGGGGUGGGACGCGGGGUGCGGGGGGGGACAUGGGCGCCCUGGGCUCACCCGAGGCCGAAAGUGGAAACGGGCAAGGAAAUGGGAGAAAGGAUGCCAGGCGCCGGGGAACUGGCCAAUGAGGAGUGGGCGGGUGGGCGUGAGCCUGGGGAUCCCGGGCCCAGCCGCCGGGGGCCGGAGGGCGGGACUUCCUGCUCCGCGCACCUUCCUGGUCUUUUGUUUCAUAGCAACGGAGUAGUGGCCGCGAGGGCGUCCCGGGCGGGGGCGGGGCCGCGGCCGCGGGAUCCCGGCAGCCCCCAGGGCUCGGGCGCCGCCGCCCCGGGACGGGACGGGACGCGCACCGGCCCGAAGUCCCGGAGCUCCCGAGCGAUCCCUCUUACGUGCAGUUUAACAUGAAAGCAGCAUCCUUUGCCAGUGUGGUGAUUUGUAACCUACAGAGAACUUGGAUAUGGCAUCUCUCCAGGAGAGGAGUGCUCUCCUAGAAGAUCCUGAACUGAGCCAGAAUGCACGAGGGCUCAGUUAUCCUGAACAAUUCAAUAUCACAGGAGGUAGAAUGGGCAAAACCAACAUCUUAUUUGUGCACUGUGUUUUCACACAUUCAAAUGUAAACUGUGCCCAAAUAUCCUUGAAAGAGCACCCCAGGAGAAAUAAGCUGGACCACUAUGCUAUCAUCAAGUUCCCCCUCACCACCGAGUCAGCCACAAAAAGAAGAAGAAGAAGAAGAAGAAGAAGAAGAAGAAGAAGAAGAAGAAGAAGAAGACGACGUCAAAACACACUCGUGUUCAUUGUGGUGUCAAGGCCAACAAGCACCAGAUCAAACAGACUAUGAUGAAGUUUUAUGAUAUUGAUACGGCCAAGGUCAACACCCUGAUCAGGCCCGAUGGAGAGAAGAAGGUAAAUGUUUAACUGGCUCUCGACUAUGAUGCUUGAAUGUUGCCAACAAACUUGGGAUCAUCUAAGCUGAGUCUAGCUCGUUAAAUCUAAAUAUAAAUUUUCACCAUAAAAAAAUAAAAACCAACUCUGUGAAAGCA
rnacentral:lncRNA from 1 species